UGUCGAACUGCCAUUGAUACUGUUAGUCUUGAGUAAGGUUGAAGUGGCUGCAAUAAGUAGUGUAGCGGUGAAAUGCAUAGAUAUUACUUAGAACACCAAAUGCGAAGGCAGGUCACUAAGUCUUAACUGACGCUGAUGGACGAAAGCGUGGGGAGCGAACAGGAUUAGAUACCCUGGUAGUCCACGCCGUAAACGAUGAUUACUCGUUUUUGGGUUUUAUGAUUCAGAGACUAAGCGAAAGUGAUAAGUAAUCCACCUGGGGAGUACGUUCGCAAGAAUGAAACUCAAAGGAAUUGACGGGGGCCCGCACAAGCGGUGGAGCAUGUGGUUUAAUUCGAUGAUACGCGAGGAACCUUACCAAGACUUAAAUGGGAAAUGACAGCUUUAGAAAUAGAGUUUUCUUCGGACAUUUUUCAAGGUGCUGCAUGGUUGUCGUCAGCUCGUGCCGUGAGGUGUUAGGUUAAGUCCUGCAACGAGCGCAACCCCUGUCACUAGUUGCUAACAUUAAGUUGAGGACUCUAGUGAGACUGCCUACGCAAGUAGAGAGGAAGGUGGGGAUGACGUCAAAUCAUCACGGCCCUUACGUCUUGGGCCACACACGUGCUACAAUGGCCGGUACAGAGGGCAGCUACCUAGUGAUAGGAUGCAAAUCUCGAAAGCCGGUCUCAGUUCGGAUUGGAGUCUGCAACUCGACUCUAUGAAGCUGGAAUCGCUAGUAAUCGCGCAUCAGCCAUGGCGCGGUGAAUACGUUCCCGGGCCUUGUACACACCGCCCGUCAAGCCAUGGAAGCUGGGGGUACCUGAAGUCGGUGACCGUAAAAGGAGCUGCCUAGGGUAA
rnacentral:rRNA from 1 species